rnacentral:tRNA from 1 species
UCUAAUGUGGCAGAUUAGUGCAAUGAAUUUAAGCUUCAUAUAUAAAGUACUUCCACUUUUAUUAGAA